GGACGUUGGACAUUGUUGGUGCUCGCUGGGUGUAACAGCCGCUCCAUGUGGAAAAUGCAUUCAAGUGCCCAUGGAGAAGCUGUUACCUGCAGAGAGUCACAUGUGACGGAAACCGGAUG
rnacentral:precursor_RNA from 8 species